rnacentral:misc_RNA from 1 species
GAUGAAGAACGUAGCGAAAUGCGAUAAGUAAUGUGAAUUGCAGAAUUCAGUGAAUCAUCGAAUCUUUGAACGCACCUUGCGCUCCUUGGUAUUCCGAGGAGCAUGCCUGUUUGAGUGUCAUUAAAUUCUCAACCUCACCAGUUUUGUAACGAGACAGGUGAAGGCUUGGAUGUGGGGGUUUUGCAGGCUGCCUCAGUGCUGGUCUGCUCUCCUGAAAUGCAUUAGCGAGCUCAUAUUGAGCUUCCGUCUAUUGGUGUGAUAAUUAUCUACGCCGUGGAUUGGACUCAUGCUUGCUUCUAACCGUCCGCAAGGACAAUUUACUUGACCAAUUUGACCUCAAAUCAGGUAGGACUACCCGCUGAACUUUAGCAUAUCAAUAAGCGGAGGA